UAGGGGAACCUGUUUCUAGUAAUUUUUU
rnacentral:rRNA from 1 species